GAAGUAGAAGUAACCACCGUCCUUUCUAUACACGUCUCCAUUUCUUUCCUCUCCUUUUCCUUCCCCUCCAAAUGCCAACCCAAACUCCACCCAAGCUGCAGCUAAUCAAAUCAUCCAUCAACUACUACUAUCUCCCGAUUAGAAAAAAAAGAAAGAAAUCAGGAAGAAAUCGCCCAUGGCGAAAGAAAAAAGAAUUCUUGUAGAGAAAAAAGGGGGACAAAACCCAGAGCGAUUUCUUGGUUGCCAGAGACCUGCAGACACGCGGCACGGAACAUCCGCCGCACGUUUUUGUCGCAGAUUCGUGUUCUUGAUGCUUCCCGGCUGCUGUUCUUGAUGGGAUGGAUGCGGUUCUUGGCGUCUCUGCUGAGUGCUGAGAUGUUUUGCAGCUCUUAAGAUGAUUUUUUUUAUCCGAUUUGGUUAUUUGAUUCUCUUAUCUUGGUAUGGUUUUCAACUUUGAAUGUAUUCGCCUAUUUAGCAUAGAACUUCGAAUGUAUUUGCCUAUUUUAGAAGAGAACUGACAGGAUUUCUUGAUAGAUUUUCCUCCACCUGAUUGAGGAGUGUAAUUUGGACAGUGAUGGAUCCUUCUGACGGGGAACUCCUAAUCUCCUUUUGUCAAGAGGCAAUCCUCUGGCAGAUGCUGUUCUGAUUGAUUGUUUGGUCACUCAACAACGCAAAUCAUGGGCAUCUUGUGGCUAUCUAGGGUUGGAUUUGGGGCUACACCAUUUCUUCUUCAUAGAUCUUUGUUUUCGCAAAUCUUGCAAUCUCUUUUAGCCUUUUCUGGAGGAUGACUAUGGUAGAGAUUGUUCUAAAUUCUUGGUUUGAUUUUUCUUGGAUUUAUUAGUUGAUCUUGUGAAUUGCAUUUCCCCUUCAUUCAAGCUUCCCAAAGUUCUACUGGUUGGUUAGUUAUUCAGAUUUGAUUUGAUUCUUUUUACUUAUCAGCAACUUGGGUUGAUUUCAGAUGAGAACUACAUGGUGGAUUGGCUCAUGAUAGUGCAAAUCAUUGGCUGAGAUGAGGAAAGGCAUGUUCAUCGACUCCAAGAUUGUUCACACCAAAUGUCAGGCAUCUGAACAAGACAGUCACCCUUAAGAACGAAACAGCUUCUUGCUCAACUCAAACGGGAUAGUUCUGGUGGAGAAGGUUCAACCUUAAUUAUGCAGUAUUGCUUCAGCAAUUGUUUUACACGGCAUCAGCGCCUCCAAGCAUGUGGCCACCAUCAACAGCCAUAGCGUCUGCAUAGUUUGCUUGAUGCUGGCUCCCAGCAUAUGGUGCAUUCCUUCGCACACGAUUGUGCUCAUCUGAUUUCAACAAAACAGGAAAAGGCUUGUCACAUAUACAUGGCAGAAUGUUCAUUUGUAAUGUUGAUAUCUCAGUUAUCAAGACAUUUUUUGCCCUACUAAUGCUUAUUGCACAUGUACGGGAUACCAUAAUUUGUAACCAUUUGGCCAUAGAUGUAAAAUGCGGACUGCAAAAAAAACAUUGGUGUUGUGGCCGACGAUAUUUCCGACGAAACGUUCAUUGAGUUA